GACGUAGGGACCGAGCGUUGUCCGGAUUUAUUGGGCGUAAAGAGCGUGUAGGCGGCCAGGUAGGUGGGUUGUGAAAACUGGAGGCUCAACCUUCAGAGGUCGACCCAAACCCCCUGGCUAGAGUCCGGAAGAGGAGAGUGGAAUUCCUGGUGUAGCGGUGAAAUGCGCAGAUAUCAGGAAGAACACCCGUGGCGAAGGCGGUUCUCUGGGACGGUACUGACGACUGGAGACGCGAAAGCGUGGGGAGCGAACAGG
rnacentral:rRNA from 1 species